GUGGCAACCCCAGAGCACUUAGGAGGUUGAGGACUGCUUGUGAGAGGGCAAAGAGAACUCUGUCCUCCACUGCCCAAACCACCAUUGAAAUUGAUUCUUUGUAUGAAGGAAUUGAUUUCUAUUCCACCAUUACCCGUGCCAGGUUUGAAGAGCUUAAUAUGGAUCUCUUCCGGAAGUGCAUGGAACCGGUUGAGAAGUGUUUAAGAGAUGCUAAGAUGGACAAGAGGACUGUCCAUGAUGUUGUUCUUGUUGGUGGUUCUACUAGAAUUCCCAAGGUUCAACAACUUCUGCAGGACUUCUUUAACGGAAAGGAGCUCUGCAAGAGCAUCAAUCCUGAUGAGGCUGUGGCAUAUGGUGCUGCUGUACAAGCUGCUAUCUUGAGUGGUGAGGGUAACGAGAAGGUGCAAGAUCUUCUCCUGCUCGAUGUCACCCCACUCUCUCUGGGGUUGGAAACUGCUGGUGGGGUUAUGACUGUCUUGAUCCCCAGGAACACUACAAUCCCAACAAAGAAAGAACAGGUUUUCUCAACCUAUUCUGAUAACCAGCCAGGUGUUUUGAUCCAGGUUUAUGAAGGUGAGAGAACAAGGACCAGAGAUAAUAAUUUGCUGGGUAAAUUUGAACUUUCGGGCAUUCCUCCUGCACCCAGGGGUGUUCCUCAAAUCACAGUGUGCUUUGACAUCGAUGCCAAUGGUAUCUUGAAUGUCUCUGCCGAAGACAAAACUACUGGCCAAAAGAACAAGAUCACCAUUACCAACGAUAAGGGUAGGUUGUCAAAGGAAGAAAUUGAGAAGAUGGUGCAAGAGGCCGAGAAGUACAAGUCUGAAGAUGAAGAGCAUAAGAAGAAGGUAGAAGCAAAGAAUGCAUUGGAGAACUACGCAUACAACAUGAGGAAUACUGUGAAGGAUGAGAAGAUUGGAGGAAAGCUUGACCCAGCUGACAAGAAGAAGAUCGAGGAUGCUGUUGAGCAGACU
rnacentral:lncRNA from 1 species